CAUACUUUGAUGUCUACACCUUUGGAACAUGAUUACAUAGGUUUGGCAGAGACUUCUUCAAUGGAAAGAAGCUCUGAGAAGAUAUCUUCUUCUUCUUCCUCUUCAAUUCCCUCCAAUAUUGAAGACAAAACCACCAACAAUCCUUCCCUGAAUCUCAAAGAAACUGAGCUGAGGCUUGGCUUACCAGGUUCUCAGUCACCUGAGAGAAAGCUGUCUCUUUUUGGCAAAGAUUUGGAGACUAAUGAUAAAAGCAACGGUUUUGUUGGUAGCCCUUUGAAGAACUUGGUGUCUGGAGCUAAAAGGGGUUUCUCAGAUGCCAUUGAUGGGUCUAAUGGGAAAUGGGUUUUC
rnacentral:lncRNA from 1 species